AACAUCGAGACACUUUGUAGUUUCGCAAAUUCGCAACGUAACCUCUAACGAACCGCGAAUUUCAGGCGUAACCACAAGAAAAUCCUCGUUAGUUCUUGUCGUGGUACGAAACGAGACUAUCUCGUGCUCUCGCGUUAUCGCUAGAUAUCGUACAAUCGAUUCUCGAAGUUUACAUAAGAGAACGUUCGUUUAUACUCGAAGAAUAGUAGCGACCGAUCGAAAGGAAUUAUUCGACAGAAUCGAAUUACAUACUGGAAAUAUGAAGAUCUUGUGUUGUGUGAAAGCAUGGCUGUAUCAAGUCGCGUUAAUCUGUUAGCUGGCUGACACGAGUUAAUUGUUACAAUAGAAAUGCCAAAACGGUGGUAUUUUUGAAGCAGUGAUUUUUUAUUCACAGGCAUUUAUUAUGUAUGUAUGUAUAUUCAGAACACAUCUGUUCCAUUAUGUUCGUAUUUGCUAGCAAUAUGUACUGAUAUAACCUCUUAAGAGAUCUUGAUAAAUGCGUGUAUAGAUCAUUUUUAUUUGACGAUCCUCGAAUAUUGGAAAGUACAAUAACUGCAUAAUGUGUAUAUUAAUUUCCUCCGAGUAUUUCAAGAUGGUUCAUAAAGACGUUAACCAAAACUGAUGAUAGGGCGUUAAUGAAAGCGAUGAUGUUAAACUUCUGAAAAAUGUGGUCCAGGAUAGGUUUAUUCGCUCGUUUUUCAAUAAGAAUGUGUUAACUCGCUGCAAGUAUGAGCGUUACAACUUUUUGUACGGAUGUAAAAAGAUAUUAAUUGUCAGAAGCAGAGGAUGAGUGAAUGAGUGUAUGAUACAUAUUGUUUGUUACUAUUACAUCGUCCGCAGCAGCUUCCCACAAUCACGAGAUAUUUAACCACGCAAUGUCAUGAAGUAUUUCAUGCAAACACACUUCACCAACUGAGCAUAGAUCUUAAAGAGUGUAAUAUUAUCACGAUUUCAUUUGCAUCUUGGUAAUUAACCUAAAUAAGAUAUCCAACAAUGCGACGAGUAUUACACACAUUUUUUUCUCUCUCAAUUAAUCGUGGAACGUAAACACGUAGUACUAUGUUCGUUUCACGAAAGCCAAGUUCGGAGCUACAAUUUUACGAAAAUGUCAUGGAACACUCUUUUCCACUCGUUCGCUAGUUUCAGCGUUAACCUAGUUGAGAGUACUGUACUACAGCAACAUAUACCACACUCCUUUUGUGUCUCAGUAGCAAUAUAAUAGAAUAAAUGCACGUGCUACCAUUUGGUAUAUAAAAAUUACAAGAAAGAAUUGGUACUUUUAUUUAUAAGAUCUACUAGGUGGAUUUAGACUUCAAUUUUAAUUUAACUGAGAAUGUUGUAUAACAGUAGUUCUAUAUAUUGUAUCCUUUUUAUAACUCAAUCAAUACCACAACGAGGAAUAUCUAUUCUAAAAAGUGUGAGAUUAAAAAUUUAAUAUUUGCUACAAUCCCUUUUGUAUCUCAGUGAAGAAUUAAAAUGACUAUGUCUGCUAUAAGAGAACACAACAUCAUACUUUUAUUUAAACUUCUAUAUUAAUUCAGUUAAGAGUACUCUACGACAGUACUAUUAAAUGUUACACCAUCUUUUGUAGUUAAGUAACCAAAUAAAAAGUAUUUCUUCAACUUACAACAUGAAUUCAAAACACGAUUUUCCACUUCGACUUUGGAAUUAACCCAAAUAGUUCACCCACGAUACUACAAUGUACCACGUUCUUCAGAAGAGUUCAGCUCUGAGUUCCAAGCUGUGAGCUUCAAUUUACGAAGACUAUUCGUGGCACAAUUGCACCAGAUCUCAGCAGAAUGUCUACCAAUUCCCCUGACAAGCAAAGGUCCAAAAAGGUCCCCAGGUUUCGACUCUAAUAACACGGUUGCAACCGUGCAACACUACCGGCAAAUACGGUAAUUUACCGAAAACAGGUUCACCGGAUGAUCACAACAAUGUGGUUAGCCGAAGCAAAAAGCUGGCCGAAACGAUGCUACGACCACGGUCAGUGGUCUUCGAUGCUAUGCUCUUUGACGAGCAACAACCGGAGCACCCUAAGGAACUACCACUCCCACGGUCUCUGAUUAUCAUUUAACCCGUUUCAAUAUGUCGGUAUUUCUGCCUCUUAACGUGCCUCGAUUCCUGGAAAGUUACACUCGGUGAACGUCAAUCUUCAUAGACGAGUUGAUUCUUGGGAUCGAUGAUCAACGUCGCGAACGAUGAGAAGAAUAAGACGAUUGCUUGUAAGUGGAAAUGAUUCUAUUCAGUCGCUACGGGUGACGAAUGUUUUGGAAGAAAAGCUUUUGGAUAGAUUUGUUCUUCUCGGAAGAAGGUUUCGGAAAUAAGAGGAUACAAUGACGAAGUAAAUUGUUCCAUCUCAUAAAAGGAACUAAAUGUACGCCUUUAAUUACGCAAGUCUGGAAAUGCAUCCGAAAAUAGCUGGCGUUUAACAUAGACUAACCAAGCCAAACCGCCAGAGAUUCAAAUACCGUAUCAUUAGAACGCAGAAUAGCCCCUAAAUCUUAACACACUAACAUCCGGCUUUGCACCGUGCAAAAUAUCACGCACGACCGAAGAAAUACCAUUAACUUACUGACUAAAACUUAACAAAAAUCCCCCACCAACUGUUAAUUAUUCGAUAAUCAAACACGGACAACCCCUCAAUUAAAUAAUUACAAGAAUGUUACCGAUCAAGACUACUGUACAUUGAUCAAGACUUCCAUACGUCUGUUUAACUCCAUUCUGCUAUAAGUAUCUUCCAUUUUCUAAAUGAAACAAUGUCCCAAUGACGUAUGAAUAUCGCUAUAUUUCCAUCCCUGCUACAUUAUCUCAUUAAUCUUCAAAAACCAAAUUCUAACAUUGAAAUCGACUCAAAGAUCCCACCACUCAGCAACGCGUCCGAGCCAAAAAGUCACCUGUGUCGGUAUCGUUCAAAGUAUCUACCCCCGAAACUAUUUCCAGACAUGGGUCCAGCACUGACCUACGUUUUUCCAGCGGCGGACGAUAGAAUCCCUCGUUCCACGAAUCAGAAAGAUACACAGGACGCAGGAGAGGAAGAAAGAGAGCUCGCCAGCGGUAGAGCACAGGGCAGAGAGCCGAGUCGGCCAACGCUAUAGACGUCGGGACGCUAUCCGGUCGAUACAGGCAACCGGCAGACUAGGAAGUAAACCCGGGCAUCAACCUCUCUGCCUACCACCCGUCACCCUUCUCCGCAACCUCGCGCCGGACGGACGCCGGGAGGAACCCCCCUCGAUCUCUCGAAUUCGCUCUCGUCGCUCUUCGACCGCGGGUGCAACGACCUCGCCCCGCCAGAAAUUUGGAUCUGGAGCGAGCGGCUGCGAGACCAGCCGCAACCUGUGCCGUGCAUUUCGUAAUUAUCGACGCCGCCAGGACGACAACACAGAGGGGUGGAGCCCCGUUUCCGUCGUCGCAGACCUGUCUCGCCAACAUCUUUCGCGAUAUUAGCCACCGCAGAAUGAUAUUGACUUUGCUGUUCAGAUACUGAUCUGCAGUGACUGCAACUGGAGGACGAAUGGGGUGUUCCAUGGGGAUGAAUUUUCCUUCCCGCGCAAGUGGAAGUGGAAAGGGUA